rnacentral:rRNA from 1 species
GACGUAGGCUGCAAGCGUUAUCCGGAAUUAUUGGGCGUAAAGAGUUCGUAGGUGGUCUGUUAAGUUGGAUGUCAAAGCCAUGAGCUCAACUCAUGACAGGUGUCCAAAACUGGCAGGCUAGAGACAGGUAGAGGUAAGUAGAAUUCUGUAUGUAGGGGUAAUAUCCGUAGAUAUACAGAGGAAUACCAAAAGCGAAGGCAGCUUACUGGACCUGUUCUGACGCUCAAGAACGAAAGCGUGGGUAGCAAACGGG